ensembl:lncRNA
GGAGCCCUUUUAGUGUGCUUUUUAUUCUGACAAGAUUAAUAAUUAUCCUAUAAGCAUGACGCGGUUUUAAAAUGUUGUUUCUAGUAUGAGUUAGCAUUGUGCAUGUGGGUAUAGAUGUAGAAAGAAAAGUUAUUUCACAGCAGAGGAACGUAUAUUUAAACAAAGAGUGGUAAAAUGAUAAAACUGUUUUAAAAAAAGGAAAACAUUUUUUCUUCCCAUCACCAUUAUUUUGAAUCUAAAGGAUCUAUAGCGAGUUUCAGAAGGGAACUGGGCGUUUGUAACCAAAACAGGAGCUACUGAAACGAGCUGGAAGCAAUUUGGGGAGGUGUAUCAAACGCCCCAGAGCUUUGGGCAAAGUGGCGAGAAAGAGAUCUGCCACCUGGAGGGUGACAGGCAUGUUCCCUCCCCCCCCCCAGCCACCAACUUUUGCCCUAUCCUGUGACACCUGCGACUAGCUCCUGCUGGGAAGCAGGCUACAGACUUCCCAGGUUUUGCUGUCCUUCAGCAAGACGGUUCCUAGGUGUUUAUAGCCCUCAUGACAGCCGUAGCACUUGCCAGAAGGUGUCAUUUCCCUCUUCGCUAAGCUCAUACACAUCCAGUGCUUUCCACUGGUGCAAACACACUUUUUUUUUUUUUUUUUUUUUGCCUUAGCUGUUCAAAAUGCUCAGUCAUAUGUACCCUACGUAUCGUAUGGAUCAACUCACAUUAGUGGCCUGGUUCACUGAAGGGAGGGUAUGAACUGCAGGUUUCUUAGGCAUAAGCGCAAAGUUGGUGCGGCCCUCAGAGCCGAGCCCAGCAGAACUCCCAUUUGAGGUCCCAGCCAUACAACAACAACCCUUUCACUUCUAUUAGGGUCCAAAGGAGUCACACCAGGGAGAAGACCGUGGGCCAGACCCUGCUCUUUUUUCAGUGAGGCCCAACUCCAGGUGUCUUCAGAAAAACGGGGCAGGCUGAAUCUCCUUUGGCUCAGAGCAGGGCAGAGAUCUGGUGUUAAGGAAAGGACCGAGGGCUGCACCAUCUUCCCACUAAAGCCAGUGGCAAAGCAGGCAGCAGCACCUCCAUCUCCCCUGAACUGAAGCGCAGGAUUCAUCCCUGCUUCCCUCUCCCUAACUCCUCUUGCAGGAGUAAUUUUGAGGUAACACAAUGCCAAGCACCACAGGGCUCACUUCUACAACAUCAGGCUGAGCACUACAAACUCCCAUUCUACAUUUGAAGUGUAACUGCAUUACUUGACUUCAUACUUUCUAUAAAUGUCCCAUUGUGGUAUGUCUUCGCUACGUAUAAAAGCACAGGUAGGUAUUAUGGGCUGUAUCACUUCGUUUUGUCUCAUUCAUCAGCUACUUUAAAAUAUUUUCUUCGCAGUGCAGUAGAAAAGAAAGCAAACGGUUUUGUUGUUGGGUUUUUUUUUAAUCAUUUCCCAAGUUAGAUUUAUAUGCCAUAAUGACUGUUGUAUUCCACGUGCAGAACGGCAAAACAGGCUUACAUACCUGACCUCACUUCUUCAGUGAACUGCCUCAUUUGUGAAAUGGCACAUAGAAAUCUGGAAUCUCAAACGAAUCACUUGUUUUUUCUUGCCGUGAAACCUUACUUAAGUUCACAGCAAUUUUAAAUAUGAGACGUUUAAAAUAUUAAUAUUUCCCAUAUAUUAUUCACCCACUUUCAGGUUUCAUCUCAAGUUAGAGGCACUUCGUAUUUCAAAGGCAGAACUGCUUCUCUCUCUCUUUUUUUUUUUUUCAGCACUAAUGUUCUAUUAAUUCACUUUGUAAUAUCACUCCAGUUCAUACAAAUAAAAUUGCACUAAAUUGCUGAUGCCAAGAAUCAUGCUGAAGUUGUUGGCGUUAUAAAAAAUUCCACUCUCCAUUAUUAUUUUAUAAGAUUUUCUGUAAUCUCUGCAUCGUCUUUUUAGGUAUGAUUCAAAGCCCUGCGUAGUGAGUGCCACGAGGACAAAUAUGCACGCACGAUUAUCUCCGUGCUGAGAGAUGGGGCUGAAUGUAGGUAUGUAUAUACAGUGAAGUCUGUGACUUCAGUGACUUCUGUAAGGAGGUGAAGGCAAGCUCCCAGCGAACUAACAGCCUCCACAGAUGAUCCUUUAUGAACGUUUUGCAUUUGGUGUACUUUCCCUUAAGGCAGCGUGAUGUAUCCCAUCACACACGUGUAUACGUGUGUGUGUGUGUGCAGAGACACUGGGAAUGUCUUAUGUGCAUAUUACACAACAUAUGCCAUUCGUGUAAUCACUUUAGAUAUAUAAAUAAAAUUCGUUUUAUAUACAUAAAUAAAAUAUGUGAAGGUAUUCCUUAAAGGAGCCAUAAAGGCCCACGUGUAGGUGGAUUCUUCAUCACAUCCAAAGAACUGAAAGACCGGGGAUAUAAAGCGGAAUCUUUUUAUAUGAGCGUGUAUCUCUUAUAAUCUCUCCAUAAAAUCCACAUGGCUGCAUAACCACUUCCAGAGAUGCGGAUGGAAGUUAUACCUGGACAGCCCGAAAGCCUUUAAUAAGUAAAGCAGCAUAUAAUCCUAUGAAAUGCCUUUCAGGAGUGAAAUAAUUACAAAGCGCUGGAGCAAGAGCAGCAAACAGCAGGAAAAUCACCUGUGAAUAGAUGUGAGAAACUGGAAGUGUACUCCAGUGUUUGUGUGGUCAUCAAAAUCAAACGUUCAGGAGCUGGAAAUCCAACUGCCGGGAGGGCAGACUGAUACAUUUAUAGGCACGUAUAGCCCGUGCCUUAAACUUUGAGUCUGCAACGUUGUUAGUGAGGUAUCCUCCUUUAUAAUGCUUGGCAUUUGUUCCCUUGGCAUUUAAAGAAGAUGGGCUGUUUUAAUUACAAUUUGAGCGAAUUCUUUAAAAGAAAAAAAAACCAAACUGCAAAAUGACUGAUGCAAAUCCCGGCCACUCGUGAGCACAAUGAAAUUCUACUGAGCAGAGAGGACACCGGGAGAGGCUCCCGAUCAGCUGCAGCAGAGAAUGCCCUGCGCUACGCAGCCCUCAGACGCCGGGAUUCUGAAAUACGAAUUAGACCUCAAAUGCAAAUCAACCUCCGAAGGGGGAGAAGGAAAAAAAUAAUAAUAAAAAAAAAAAAAUCAGAGAGACAUACCGAGUCAAACGCUCCUUUUUCUGCCUAUCUCGUCCCCAGUGUUAAAACAGGCAAAACAAAACAAGUGCACAUCAAGAUAGAGCCAAUUAAGGGGAAGGCAGCGCGGAGGGCGGGUGGGAGGCAGCCACCUCGCCGAGCACAUGGGGAGCGGGAGCGCAUCGCCCCACCUCGAGCCGUCCCUGAGCCUUCCGAGCUCUCCCAGGAGGACAACGGGGGGCGGACGGCGCCGUCCAACCUCCCGCAGCCACGAGCACAGCGGAUCCGGCACGGGAGAGUUCGGGCAGCGCGGAGCGGUGCGCUUCGGCCAAGGGUGGCACCGGGAUCCCAGCGCAGUGCCGCACUCCGCGCGGCCGGGCUUUACGCACAGCGCAGUACGCGGGAGGUGUCUUUACGUUUAACGUUUUAAUUUGGACAUGCUAAUUAGGCUGUGGGUCUCCACGGUUCUAUCGGCGGAUAGCUGAUCGCUUCCCUCUGCGAGGAAGUGUCUGCUAAAUACAUUUCCCGGCCCCGAUCUCCGUUCCCAGAAGCCCGUCUAGCAGAACCGUCCCGUCGGGCGAAACGGACCUUUAAUAAUGGAAGGCCGAGGGAGGUUCUGCGCAGCGGCGCACCGCCUCGGGCACGGCCCCAACGCGGCCCUCUGCAGCGGAGCCAUCGAAAUAACUCCGUGCCCAGCGAACUUGUUGCUCGCUUUCAGCUCCUCCGCUCACCCCGGCUCGGGUCGGUGCCAGGCGAGGGGCAGAGGCAGCCUGGGGGAGAAGCCGCCGCUGUCGGGGUGAGAAACUUCCCGGGCUCCAAAGCCGCCCGCUCUGGGCGUCGAGGGGCAGCGGCCGCUCCGCUGCUGGGAACUGCGCCCUGGCCAUGUGUUUUCCCCGUGUGGAACGUUGCUCGCAAGUGCGGGAGGUGGAAAGUUUUGUUCACGUCAUUAUCUCAAAGCUUUCCCCGCGCGGUCAGUGGACGCAGAGGCUUCACUCCGUUUUCCGAAUGAAAACCCACGGACGCUUGAUGUGAAAAGUGCAUGCUCCCGUGGGCCGUGCUUUCCCCGAUUACUUUCUUUUUUCUUUUUCUUUUUCUUUUUUUCUUUCACUUUCUUGGCUCCGUCCCGCCAGGAUCUCUCUACGUUUACGGGCUGUACGGUUUCCAGGGCUCCAAUGGGGCUUUCCCUGAUGGAGGCGAGGAACAGAACUUUCCCACUCGCUCGGAAACUGCCGAGGAUCCGGCGGGGGGAGCACACAAAGAGGCCCCAAAUCCCCCCCGGGGCUCAGGGACAUCCCCUGCAGGUGCAGGACCAAAGCUGCAGGGAUGGCCCAAAGCGGUGCAUGUGUCGCUCUCGUCCCCUAUUAUGAGCACUACGGGAGUGAAACGGGGGGUGCGGAGCGGGUUCUUGGGACAGCGGUUCUUGAGCCCACGCACGUUGGUGAAGGGAAACGCGGGGCCGUGCGCGCCGUCGGGCUGAGCCAGGGUUAAUGCCUGCGGGCCCAGACACGCUGUGCUCCGGG